rnacentral:misc_RNA from 1 species
GUGAAUCAUCGAAUCUUUGAACGCAAAUUGCACUCUCUGGUAUUCCGGAGAGUAUGCCUGUUUGAGGGUUAGUUUAAAUAAAUUUUGGUGUGGUUGUUGCCUUUCCUGGUGACGCAUUGGUUUUGGGUCGUUUUGCCUUCGGUUAAGUGACCUAAACUUUUGCAUGCUUUUUUUCGAAUGUAAUUAAAUG